rnacentral:misc_RNA from 1 species
CACCACUCAAGCCUCGCUUGGUAUUGGGCGACGCGGUCCGCCGCGCGCCUUAAAUCGACCGGCUGGGUCGAUCGCACCCUCAGCGUUGUGGAAACUAUUCGCUAAAGGAGUCGCGGUCGGUCACGCCGUGAAACAAACCAAUUUUUCAAU